CAGCAGCCACGGUAAUACAGAGGUCUCAAGCGUUGUUCGGAAUUACUGAGCGUAAAGCGUGCGUGGUGGUUGUAUAAGUUAUCUGUGAAAUUCCUGGGCUCAACCUGGGCAGGUCAGAUAAUACUGUAUGACUCGAGUAUGGGAGAGGGUAGUGGAAUUUCCGGUGUAGCGGUGAAAUGCUUAGAGAUCGGAAGGAACACCAGUGGCGAAGGCGGCUACCUGGCCUAAUACUGACACUGAGGCACGAAAGCGUGGGGAGCAAACAGGAUUAGAGACCCGAGUAGUCCCUGUCUCUUAUACA
rnacentral:rRNA from 1 species